AGGAUGAAGUAUGCACACAUUUUGCCGCCGACUAAUUUUCGCUUUUUUACUUUUGUCCAAUUUCAAACUUACUGUUUUUUUUUUUCAAAACCUUUAUCUUUAUAAUAUAAUAUUAAACAGUGAUAAUGUUAUCGCCACAAGAGCAACAAAUUGGGAUAUGUUUAUUAAAAUUCAAUUUAGAAGAUAUUGAAAAUGAACUAGUUGUACAGAGAUCAGCAUUGCCCGCGUUAGAUGCCGAAAACGAACAAAAGUACCGCGAAACAAUGACAGUGCUGAAAGUUGCACGCUCACUGAACAAUGAGACAGAACGAUUGAAGUUGGAAAACGUGAGAUUAACUGCUAAGCGGAUGCAACUCAAACGACAGUGUGAAGAUAUAAGUAAGUCCCUUGAAACCGCGCAAACGAACCGAAAUCAUUUAAAAGAAUUGAUAAUGGACGAAGAAAAUGAAACUGAGAAACUCAUCCGUCAAUAUGAAGAUUCGUUGCGUGAAAAAGCGGAUCGCUUCAGAAAUACUCGGGGAUAUUAUAAUGAAGACGAAGUAACUUCUGAAUACAAUAAUGUCAUCAGUUCAUUGAACGAUCUUCAGCUGCAACACGACGAAUUGAAGAGUACGGUUGAAGAACUUAAGAGACAGCUUCAGGCCAUAGUUCCUGAAAUUCCUGAUGAUAUUCUAAAUAUUGUGUAUGUUAUAUAAAAGAAAGUAUAUGUAAUUUAAAGUCGUCGUGACCUAAAAGAUAAGGUGUCUGGUGCAUUUGUAUCGAGCGAUACAACUGUGUCGGUGUUUGGAUCCCGCGGACACGUAUCAACUAUUCUAAUAUUUUUUUUAUUUAACAAAUAUUUACGACUGACCUCAACGGUGCAGGAAUAACAUCGUGCAUAAAAUAAAACCCGCAAAAUUAAUAAUUUGCGUAAAUACUGGUGGCAGGCGUCUUGUGAUCCCGAACGGGUAGGUACCACCACCGCCCUGCCUAUUUCUGUCGUGAAGCGGUAAUGCGUUUCUGUUUGAGCUGUGGAGCUGCCGUUGUUCUGUGCAAAUUGUGAGAAUUCAUGUCUCAAGGUGAGUGGCUUUUUUUUUUUGGGUACGGGGGCUGAACCUCCUACGAGGUCCCCGCGCCUAGGGGGCGCGCGGGGUAUGUGGGACUCAACGAUCUGCAAGGUGUUGGGAGCAGACCGCGGGCCCAAGGAAUUUUAAGGCCCACCCACUAAACGACUCCCCUGCACUCUUACACCCGACGUCCGAUCCCCGUCCGAGGUCAAAACCCGGUCAGAGUAGAGGGGUUCCCGCGGUCAACACUACAACCAGAAGAGGAAAAACUGAACUAGCAGAGAAAAUAAAAGAGUUAACAGAAAAAUGCGCAACGCUCACAGAACAUCGGAAUCAACAACGUAGCCUGCAAAAAGAUCCUAUUCAGUCCAUUCUCUUGAAAUUUUAAAUAUCUAGAAUUGUAUCAAUCCUUUGUUUGGUUUCCUAAUAACUAAGAUUUUAAUAAGUAUUUGGCUGGAAAAACUGUUUUAAAUAAAUUUGAAUAAAGGCAAA